UUCAUGAAUCUAAUUCCUUCUCUCAUCAAAUAUAUAAGUUUG
rnacentral:sRNA from 1 species